rnacentral:rRNA from 1 species
GAUGAACGCUGGCGGCGUGCUUAACACAUUGCAAGUCGAACGAAGCACUUUACUACGAUUUCUUCGGAAUGACGGUUUGUGACUGAGUGGCGGACGGGUGAGUAACGCGUGGAUAACCUGCCUCAUACAGGGGGAUAACAGCCGGAAACGGCUGCUAAUACCGCAUAAGCGCACGGUACCGCAUGGUACAGUGUGAAAAACUCCGGUGGUAUGGGAUGGAUCCGCGUCUGAUUAGCCAGUUGGCGGGGUAACGGCCCACCAAAGCGACGAUCAGUAGCCGACCUGAGAGGGUGACCGGCCACAUUGGGACUGAGACACGGCCCAGACUCCUACGGGAGGCAGCAGUGGGGGAUAUUGCACAAUGGGGGAAACCCUGAUGCAGCGACGCCGCGUGGAGGAAGAAGGUUUUCGGAUUGUAAACUCCUGUCGUUAGGGACGAUAAUGACGGUACCUAACAAGAAAGCACCGGCUAACUACGUG